GAUGAACGCUAGCGGGAGGCCUAACACAUGCGAGCCGAGCGGUAGAGUCUCUUCGGAGCCUUGAGAGCGGCGCACGGGUGCGGAACACGUGUGCAACCUGCCUUUAUCUGGGGGAUAGCCUUUCGAAAGGAAGAUUAAUACCCCAUAAUAUGCUGGAUGGCAUCAUCUGGUAUUGAAAACUCCGGUGGAUAGAGAUGGGCACGCGCAAGAUUAGAUAGUUGGUGAGGUAACGGCUCACCAAGUCAGCGAUCUUUAGGGGGCCUGAGAGGGUGAUCCCCCACACUGGUACUGAGACACGGACCAGACUCCUACGGGAGGCAGCAGUGAGGAAUAUUGGACAAUGGGUGAGAGCCUGAUCCAGCCAUCCCGCGUGAAGGACGACGGCCCUAUGGGUUGUAAACUUCUUUUGUAUAGGGAUAAACCUAGAUACGUGUAUCUAGCUGAAGGUACUAUACGAAUAAGCACCGGCUAACUCCGUG
rnacentral:rRNA from 1 species